rnacentral:rRNA from 1 species
AGUGAACGCUGGCGGUAGGCCUAACACAUGCAAGUCGAACGGCAGCACAGGAGAGCUUGCUCUCUGGGUGGCGAGUGGCGGACGGGUGAGGAAUACAUCGGAAUCUACUCUGUCGUGGGGGAUAACGUAGGGAAACUUACGCUAAUACCGCAUACGACCUACGGGUGAAAGCAGGGGACCUUCGGGCCUUGCGCGAUUGAAUGAGCCGAUGUCGGAUUAGCUAGUUGGCGGGGUAAAGGCCCACCAAGGCGACGAUCCGUAGCUGGUCUGAGAGGAUGAUCGGCCACACUGGAACUGAGACACGGUCCAGACUCCUACGGGAGGCAGCAGUGGGUAAUAUUGGACAAUGGGCGCAAGCCUGAUCCAGCCAUACCGCGUGGGUGAAGAAGGCCUUCGGGUUGUAAAGCCCUUUUGUUGGGAAAGAAAUCCAGCUGGCUAAUACCCGGUUGGGAUGACGGUACCCAAAGAAUAAGCACCGGCUAACUUCGUGCCAGCAGCCGCCGUAA